GCUGAAAUCUUAUCUCUUCCUCGAGCUGAUCCUCUCAAUCUCACCUUUUCCUCUAUCUUUCCCUCCCCACAGCAGUCAUGGCCUUGCCUGCUCGAUCGCAAGUUUGCUGCCAUGGAACAGCUCCAAGCCUGCUCCUGCGAGCACCUCCACAGCCACCACAAAAAACACGAGCUCAUUGCUGGGCAUGGCCCCCGUUUUGCAACUCCGCGACCCUCCUAUGCCCCUCCCUCACGCAGCAGCCAUGGCCGGUGGAAAUUCUGACAUAUUUUUUUUGCCAACCGGUUGUAGCUCUUUGGAUCGCCGGUAGUAGCUUCUGCUAAACCGGUUGCAUCUUUUUUAAAUCAUCUCGUUCAAGCUUUUUCUUCAAAAAUCUGUUUCUUGCAUCAUUUUUCCUAAAAUCACCGGUUCCAUCUUUUAAAAUAACUGGUUGUAGCAUUUUGUUCAACUGGUUGUAGCAUUCCGUUCAAGCGCAAGCUUUUUGCUACAAUUGUAGCCUGUUUUGCUACCACUGGUAAAUCUUUUUGCUACAGGCAUGCACGGCGGUGUUGGUCGAUGGCGGUGAUGCUUUUUUUUGCUGCAACCUUUUCCGAGUUUGCUGGAACGAGCGCCCAAAUUUUCUACCAUCGUCUUUUUGAUUUUGCUGGAAGGAGCCGCCCAAAAUGCUUCCACCGGAUUUGGCUUUUGCUGGAACCCGCUCCAUAAAUUGCUACCACCAGCCUUUUGGCUGCGAGCAUGCCGUCGCCUACCAUUGAUGUUGCAACCGGUAUGGUGCGGCCGACGUUCAUGGUGUGACGAGCUGCAACUAAGGGUCUGCUCUAUUUUUUGUUACAACCAUCAUCGGCGUUUGCUACAACCGAUAAUGAAAUUUGCUGCGACGAAAAUGGCCAUGCGUUUGCAACCAGCAAGGGGUCUUCCUCCAUGGCGACGGCAAGCUCGGGGUGGCCGGUGAGCACGCGGCGGCCGAGGGCGAGCGCGCGGCGGGCGAGGGCGAGAACAACAGCCAUGUUUUCUUUGUGAUUUCUCAUAUGGAAAGGAUACAUGAAGGAGGAAAGAUGCGUUGACUCAGAUCCAACGAUGGCUGGAGGUUGCAUCCGAUGCCUGCGGGCGGACCGGCCAAAUUUUCAGUCGCCUUGGAAAAAAGGGAAAAUGUUAUACGUGUGUGGAUUUUUCGUUGGAAAAAGAGAGAGGGUUGAAACAAAAAGAUCAAUCACGUUUGCACUUGGAAAGUGCUGAUCAGGCAAAAAAGGAGCCAAUCGUUCCUUCCUUCAAAAGCUCUCACCUGAGUUUUUUUAAACACAGUAUAGACGCAAGCGCUCACAUACACACGCAUACACUCAUUCUUAUGAGUGCACACACGCACACUCUACCCCUAUGAGCACCUCCGAAAGACUGAGCCGGCAUAUCAUCUUGAAAUUUACGAAGUCGUUGUAGCACCUCGCCGUCGACGGGAAUCUCUUCUCCCAUUGAAUGUGCAUCGCCGAAAAUCUUGAAAUAAAUCCAGCAAGAAAUGCGAGCAUCAGGAUUUGAACCCUGGUGGGCUGAGGAUACCACAGUCCCUCUAACCAUCCAACCAUAGAUUGAUUCGCAGCUCUCAUGUGAGUUAUUUUUUCAAUUAUGUGUGUACAUUUGAGAAGCAAAGAGAGAGCAACCACGUACCAAAUAUUUGGAGAUAUCAUACAUACUAGUAGUUCUAGUUCGGCGAGUUAAUUUGGUAUGGUUGGCUGAAUAAAAAAGGGGAUUAUCCUGUGGUGAAAGAGAAGAGACAUACUAGUGCUAGUACUAGUUUCCGAGUUGCUGGGUCGCUUAUAAUUUUUCAUACAAUUUGUACUUGUUGCCACUGUCUGUGAAUUUCAGUUGUGUCUUAGGCUCGCGUCUCUAGCACGGUCUAGCUUAGGACCAGCACUCGUCCAUUUUUAAUGAUUUUUAGCUUGUAUUAAUUAACGUGGUUGUAGCAUUUUACCCACAUAUAUAAAGCCAAUCUAGCUCCAUAUAUUUCUACACCGUGCAUACAUACAUUCACCUUGCAAUCGCUUUACCCAACUUUUGAAGUUAUUUGACACCGCUGGUUGCCGGUCACCACCUGCUGCAUGGUAAGAACUUGUAAGAGUUUGAUAUUUGCUAUACUGUGAGCGUUCUACCACCACAUCCCAGUAGUUCAUAGGAACAUUAUUUUUGAACUUUGUUUCUUGUUUCUACUAAUCAUGACAGGAGCGACAGUCAAUUCAUGGGCUUUGUCGAUCGUGGGAGACGUGCCACCACCUAAGCAAAUACCACAACCAUCACGAGAGGUGCACAAACAUCCAAAUGCACAUGAUCAGGAGUACUAUGACAACCACAUCCGUUGUUGUGAGGACUACAUCACCUCCACCAUGUGACACAUCACCUCCAAGAGUGUCUACACCAUCUGAGUUGAUCAUAAGACGCAAUGACAAAGGUACCAAUCUUCCACCUCCACAUGAGUAUGAUGAAUGCCUUGUUAAUUUAAAUGCACCAUGCGAUGAGCUACCCACUACUUUGAUCACACCAUCUAUUUUAGAGGACUAUGUUGAUGAUUUGACCUUGACAUGUGAUCAAACAAUUUUGAGUGAACCCAUUAAAUUAACUAUUGAUGCGAAAGAACCAUGUGAACCAGGGAAUAAAUCAGAUUUGGAUCAAAUACAUUUGAAAAUAAUUGUGCCAAUGUUUACUCAUUUUGAUAUGACCUCUAAUCUCGGUGAUGGUUAAUCAAGGUUGGGAUGGUUAAUGGUAAGCAUUGUCAAUCUUAUACAAUGUGUACACCUUGUAUCUUUUCUUAGCCACAUUUUAGUUUAUGCAAUGUCGAGGAUGACUUUGUUUUCAAGAAGGGGAGGAUGAUGAGGACAUGGCUACCAUAUUUACACCCACAGCCCCUGCUGCUAUACCUAAUGGGUCAACUACUAGAGCUUGCGCAUGGCAGUUGAAUUAUCAGGUACUUUCAUUUCUUGGUCAUGUUUCUAAUGUUCAUGAGAAUGUGAUGCUGCCUAACUUAGAUACAUUUGUAUUGCUUACAGUUGAAGCGCGGAGCAUGGACAAGAAGAAUGAACACUGUUGCAUGAUCAAGCUUUGUGAUGAAGGAAUAGACAUUCAUGGUCAGGUUGAUCGUGCUCCGGCGUGGUCAAUAACCUCUUGGAGUUGGUUUAGCGAUUGCUAAGGCGCAACGUCGUGCACGUUUGUAGUCGGAUCAUCAAAGUCGACUCCACCAAACCGAUAGUUAUCAUCUCAUCGAAAGAUCGGGCCCCUCACUUGAUCAUGCUCCGGCGUGCACAUUUGAGAUGAAUUUUAUGAAGAAUUAUUUUGGAAUAUACAAAAAAUAUUGGAGGAGGCCACCCAGGUGGCCACUAGGCACCAGGGCGCGCCACCCCCUCCAGGCGCGCCCUGGUGGGUAGUGGGCUCCCUAGCCCACCUCCGGCGCCCAUCUUCUGGUACAUAAGGUCUUUUGACCUAGAAAAAAAGGAGAGGACUUUCAGGGCGGAGAGCCGCCGCCUUGAGGCGGAACUUGGGCAGGAGCACUUUUGGUCUCCCACGGAGCAAUUCCGUCGGGGAUACUUCCCUCCGGGAGGGGGAAAUCAAAGCCAUCAUCAUCACCAACAACCCUCUCACCUUGGGAGGAUCAAUCUUCAUCAGCAUCUUCACUAGCACCAUGUCAUCUUAAAACCCUAGUUCAUCUCUUGUCUUCAAUCUUGUGUCAAAACCUCAGAUUGGUACCUGUGUGUGACUAGUAGUGUUGAUUACAUCUUGUAGUUGAUGCUAGUUGGUUUAUUUGGUGGAAAUCGUAUGUUCAGAUCCAUUAUGCUAUUUAUUACUCCUCUAAUCCUGAGCAUGAAUAUUAUUUGUGAGUAGUUGCUUUUGUGUUUGAGGACA